GAUGAAGAACGUAGCGAAAUGCGAUAAGUAAUGUGAAUUGCAGAAUUCAGUGAAUCAUCGAAUCUUUGAACGCACCUUGCGCCCUUUGGCUAUUCCGAAGGGCAUGCCUGUUUGAGUAUCAUGAACACCUCAACUCUCAUGGUUUGCCAUGAUGAGCUUGGACUCUGGGGGUCUUGCUGGCCUAUGGUCAGCUCCUCUCAAAUAAAUCAGCUUGCCAGUGUUUGGUGGCAUCACAGGUGUGAUAACUAUCUACGCUUGUGGUUUUCCAUCGGGUAACCUUCAGUGAUGGAGGUUCGCUGGUGCUCAUAAAUGUCCCUCCUCAGCGAGGACAGCUUUUUGAACAUUUGAUCUCAAAACAGGUAGGACUACCCGCUGAACUUAAGCAUAUCAAUAAGCGGAGGA
rnacentral:misc_RNA from 1 species